rnacentral:rRNA from 1 species
GACGAACGCUGGCGGCGUGCCUAAUACAUGCAAGUAGAACGCUGAAGCGAGGAGCUUGCUCUUCUUGGAUGAGUUGCGAACGGGUGAGUAACGCGUAGGUAACCUGCCUUGUAGCGGGGGAUAACUAUUGGAAACGAUAGCUAAUACCGCAUAACAAUGGAUGACACAUGUCAUUUAUUUGAAAGGGGCAAUUGCUCCACUACAAGAUGGACCUGCGUUGUAUUAGCUAGUAGGUGAGGUAAUGGCUCACCUAGGCGACGAUACAUAGCCGACCUGAGAGGGUGAUCGGCCACACUGGGACUGAGACACGGCCCAGACUCCUACGGGAGGCAGCAGUAGGGAAUCUUCGGCAAUGGGGGAAACCCUGACCGAGCAACGCCGAGUGAGUGAAGAAGGUUUUCGGAUCGUAAAGCUCUGUUGUAAGUCAAGAACGGGUGUGAGAGUGGAAAGUUCACACUGUGACGGUAGCUGACCAGAAAGGGACGGCUAACUACGUG